AUUGAACGCUGGCGGCAUGCUUUACACAUGCAAGUCGAACGGCAGCACGAAAGAGCUUGCUCUUUUGGUGGCGAGUGGCGAACGGGUGAGUAAUGCAUCGGAACGUACCGAGUAAUGGGGGAUAACUAUCCGAAAGGAUAGCUAAUACCGCAUACGCUUUGAGAAGGAAAGUGGGAGCUCUUCGGACCUCACGUUAUUCGAGCGGCCGAUGUCUGAUUAGCUAGUUGGUGGGGUAAAGGCCUACCAAGGCGACGAUCAGUAGCGGGUCUGAGAGGAUGAUCCGCCACACUGGGACUGAGACACGGCCCAGACUCCUACGGGAGGCAGCAGUGGGGAAUUUUGGACAAUGGGCGCAAGCCUGAUCCAGCCAUGCCGCGUGUCUGAAGAAGGCCUUCGGGUUGUAAAGGACUUUUGUUAGGGAAGAAAAGGAUAGUGUUAAUACCAUUAUCUGCUGAC
rnacentral:rRNA from 1 species